UUUUCUCUAUGAAACCCUAAAGUCAUCAUGCAAAAUUGCGAGAAAGUCCUCCGAAACUAUUAAUUUGAAACCCAGUCCUUCACAAUGGGUAACUCUCGCGCAAUCGCACCUCCACAAUCGAUCUCGCGCAAUUCGGUACAUAAAAUAUAGGGUCUCUUCGCGAUUAUCCGUUUUGCCACUUUGACCCCUCAGCGAACAACUCGCUUAUUCCGAAGAUCCGUCCGUCGGAUUUUCGAUCCGACAGUGCCAUCGCAUUCAGCAUGACGAGGGUAAUAAAACUACAAUCUUGUUUCGUCAGAUUUGGUCACAGAUUCGCGAUGGAACCCAUCCGCUCUCUAAUUAAUCCGUAUAACGCAUAUAUACCAAAGUAUAAACCCUAAAACCUUUAAUUCAAAUUCAAAUUUGAAUUUCCUACCACCAGUAGGUACCAGAAACAACUCUCACCUAACCCCAGGUCACAAGCACAGAGCACAAGGAGUUUUAAAAUGCAUGAAUAGCAAAGAGCGGAAACCCUCUUUUUGUUAAAACUCCUUUUUCUCGAAAAUCGUACAUCGGAUCUGAAAUCCAUCAGUGCCAAUAGUUCCAGAAUAGCUGAACCGUUCGAAACGAGCUACUGGAUCGCUAUGAACAGAGUCCGAUACGCGCCAGAAGCCUACUUCACGCAUUGGCCUCUCCGAAAAACCGGAGUUACUAUUCACUUGAGUGAAAUUUAAAAAUCGCGUAACUUCUCCAUUUUAGCUCAUUUUCUCCUGAAACUUGACGAGUGCUUAUGUAAUUAAAUUACACACAUAAACAUCGUCAACAGAGAGUUUAGUUGCACUGUAAAAAUCUCAGUCCUUACAUUACAUUAUACUAAGGUUCUAAAACACUUAGAACCCAUUGUAACUUGUUCCAACUCGUCCGACUCCCCGUUCCGCACGUUUCGACGGAACUCAGCACGUUUUACAGGGAUGCAAUAUGUUACACCCCCCUCCAGCACCUACACACGCACACAUUUGCAGCAUGCGGGAAUAAAAUUUAUGACCUCUGGCUUUGAUACCACUUGUUGGAUCUUGGCGCUAACAAUUAAUCCCAAACACUCGAGUUGUUAGAAAUGUGCAACUAAUUCACUUAAAACAUACAGAUACUGCACCCACGGAUCUCAAUUGCGACUUGGCCCAAUCAGUCUCAUGCAACUUUGAACAUGACUCGGCCUACCCAGUCUUAUGUCAUUUCAAAUAUGACUUGGCCUAACAUAGCCUCCUGCUACAGGACAGGAUACUGGCCCAUUUAAGCCAACAAGGUUGACGUUCUUUAGGGACAUUAGGGAACUCAACAAGGACUAGAUAUCAUGAAAAUUAUGAAUCCUAGGUAUGGACAAUUAAGACAGAAACGAAUAUAAUUGGGCAUUGAAUAUAGUGUCAUUGAACAUAGGUAAGGAAAACGUAGCAGCAGUAAGACCACUUGGACAUGAGAACAUGGACCCAGAAAGGUUGACAACAUAGGGUAAAUAGUGAACCCUUGAGAUUUGUGAACUAGGGUGCCUAUGGCAUGUCCCUCACCCUAUUGGCUGUGGGUGUAUGUGGUAUGUUCCUCUCCCACCGGGGAUCCUUGACCUAGGGUAUAUGUGGCUUGUUCCUCACUCGUUGGGCGACUUAGCAUCGGAGGUGCAUGUGGUAUAUUCCUCACCUAUUGAGUGGAUUUAAGGCUGAAGUGCAUAUGGCUCAUUUCUCUCCUCCGGCCUGGAGAAAGAGCGGUAGUCCGCUGAUGAUUAACUCAAGACCGAGUCGGUUGGUAUAGUUUGGAUAAGGUAAGAGAACCUUAGAAGCAGAUUGGAAGUGAGAUGGAUAGUGAAAUAGGAAGUAGAAAUGGAAAAUAACUUAAAUGUAUAAUUUCAUUAUUGCGUUUACUUGAGGAUAAGCAUGGAUGUUUUAUUAAUUAUCUAUAGCAGAGUUAUAUGCUUACAUUAUUACAUGUUGAAUACUAACCCCUUAUUGCUUCCUUUGGACUUGGUGGGUCAAGCUCUUCCUUUGGGUGGCUGCAUUUACUUGGGAACUAUAUUUAUAGUUCUCACACGCAUAUUUUACAGGUCCACAUGUGAGCGGUGCGGCAGCACAAGGAAAGGGCGUAGUUCGAUAGAUAGCGCCCUACCACUUUGUGGCUAAAGAUAGAUAUACCCUGAAUCUACGUAGCUUAGGGGUAUGGAAAAGAAUGAAAGAAAGUAUAAUAAAAAUUUGAUUGUAUUUGGAUGUAAAAAUGUAAAUGUAAUGUGAAUGUGACGAAUGCUUGUAAUAGCGUAGUUGUUUUAUGUUUUUGAUACUUCCUUAUACAAUUUGUGUAUAAAUUUUACUCUUGUUUGGAACGUCUUGAAUUGUACUAAUCGUGAUGCCUUGGGUGGACAGAAAAAAUUCUGUCCGGCGGGUCUGGCGCAUGCGCCCGUGCGGGGCUCCUUCCACCUAUUUGGGGAAGAGACGGCAGGGUAUGACAGAUUACGGUGGUAUCAGAGUGUAGAAACAAUCUAAAUAGACCUAGAAGACCCUUGGAAGGUAAACCAUAAGGAUCUAGGCUCGUAAGAGACGAGUAUUUGUGACAUGUCGUGAAAAAUGAAUCAAUUAGGUUUAAUUGCUAGUAUGCCACUACUAGAAUGUUAUAGGUAGAUUCAAGGCAUGAUUUAUUCUCAGCAGAAGGUGUUCAUGUCGACACGCGACAACAUAAAUUGAGUGAUGAGAAUAGACUCUCUUGUAUAACUUUCGCCUAAAUUGAGUUUGUGUCUGUAUUAAUUAUUUAUACUUGACCUAGAAGAUCGAGGAUUUGACCAAAGUUGUCGUGUUUCAAGAAACGAUGGCGCCGCUUAGGUGAUCUCCAACAAGAUCGGAGUGGAAUGGCCUGAGUGGUGUACCUGAGCAAUCUAGGGUGAGUAAAGACUCGGAGUUCCGUGAACAGUUGGACAUGCUCCUCGAAGUGGUGCGGCAAUAGGCUGAGAUAGUGCAGCAACAGCAGGGGGCUGCUCUGCGCUAGAAGGAGCGAAUCAAGAGACUUCAAGAGACUGUGAAGUAAUUGGUAACCGCACCAGUUAUGGCACACCAUGUGCAGCCGGAGUUGUGGUGGAGACCAUUCCUACUAGGUCGGGUAAGCCGAUCCCUCGUUACAUGGAGAUGGAGGUGGAGAGGAACGAGCUCUAACAGCCCUCAUGACCUUUAAGAGGUUCAAUCCGCCUACCUUUGACGGAGAGACCGUGGAUCCAUGGAUCGACUCUAUGGAAACUCUCUUUGAGGACCUAUACACCCUAGAGUAGGACAAGGUGCAUCUUGCCGCACAUUACUUAGAAAAGUCGGCAAGAGUAUGGUGGAAAUGGGUCAAGAGAGACCGAUCUCCUAGUCUCCCUCUCGUGGCUUGGGAAGAAUUUCGGAGAUCCAUGUUCUCUGCUUAUUUUCUGACAGCGAAAAGAGGAAGCUGCGAUAAGGAGACCACAUGGUGAGAGAGUACGAGAGGGAAUUCUCUUAUAUUGUUAAUUGUAUUUCGUUUGUGGUUCAAAAUGACAAGGAUAAGGCCGAUUGCUUCAAGCGGUGAUUUCGGCCAGAAAUCUUCAUGGUGGUUCACUUGCUCAAGUUACAAACCUUUUCUAAGGUGUUGGACCGGGCCUUGUGGGUAGAAUAUGGCAAUGCAAACAUGCAAGAGAAGCACGGAUCUUAUAACCAAGAGAAAGGGAAAAAGGGACUAUCGAGCAACUCAAGUGGUCGAUCAAGCUUUAGACUACCCCUGAGACAUUCGCAAUCGCAAUCCCAAAUCUUAGAGAAGUCCUCUACUCGGUCCUUGUCAAGAUGUGCAUUCUGCGGUGGUCCCCAUUAGGCACAAAGGUGCAUGAAGCGGGAUAGUAAAUAUAUUUGAUGUGGGCAGCCGGGUCACAUGAAAUAUAGGUAAUAGCCAGGCCCUACCGACCGCAACAACAUUCUUCUAUCUGCGACAGUUUGCGGGUAUGCCACCUGCGGCAUGGUUUGGGGAGCGUGCACUAAUGUUAAGGCAACCAGAGGGUUUGCAAUGGGCACCGAGUGGCCAUAGGUAUGCGACCUAGGUUGAGGGGCCUAUGCUACCGACGAUGUCGUAAUAGGUAUGAUUUAAUUGAAAAAAUCAUAAGUAGAGUAUGACGUGACAUUGGAGCAUUGCAUGCAUUUAUCAUGUGGUCAUUUGCUACUACUCAGGGGUAAAUAUAAUAGGGACCAAAUAUAUGGGUGGGCAUUGGUACCCGGGCAUGCUCGUGUCAUGGAAGUGUUAUUGCCUACCGAAGCGAGUAGGUGAUCAAACAGUGUCGACGAGUUGCUAGUGAUGAGCCGAGGAUAGGGCUCAAGGUAGUGACGAUAAUGAGUGGACUGACUCUCGAGGCAAUGUGAGUAGCCAAUUGCGAGAACCAAGUCAUGACACUCGGGGAUAUCCUAGUAGUCAAAGAGUUUUGGACGUUAUUCCAGCAGAUCGACGGUAAAAAAGCGGAAUCACUAUCAUGGAAUCGAUAAGACAGUCACCGAACUCUGGCAAGUGGGUCUGGUAGUACCUCAACAUGAGGUAGGAAAAUUGUGUUUGUGUACUUGUGCGCUUAGGCAAGAUUGCUUAGUGUUCUGUUUUGCACAAAAAGCGUAGAAGCGUAGAACACUCGAGUAUUGGUACUCGUGGAGUAUAGAUUUUGUUCAACCAAGAGGGUUUGUUGGCAGUAACACUUGAGCAUUAUUAAGUGUGAAGGAGGCCAUAGACAGCUCAAAGGGCUAGUGGCUCGCACUAGGUUUUUAGGAGCCGAUAGAGAUAUGUGUCGCUCGGUAGAGCAUGUUAGUGGUGUGUGACGAUAGUGUCGGGUAUUGCUUGGGGAUGAUCCGUUUCCGGGGAUGAUCCGUGCCCGGGGAUGAUCCGUGCCCGAACCAUGUGUACACUAUAGAGCCUGGGGCCUGAUGGACCCUCUCUCCUAUCCUCUGUAAACCACACACAUGCACACACAGGAAAGGAAGGGGAGAGUGAAGCUCCUCUCUCUCACUCUCUUCUUUGUUUUCUUCUCCAUAUAUAGAGAUUUUGGUGGAGAUCGAGCUUGGGAAGUUUGGAGAACGAGAGAAUAGAGCUGUAGCGCGUGUAGUAACUCGAGAAGCUUGCGAUUCGAGGUGAGUUCUUUGAAUUAAAGUUUAAGGUUUUUCAUAAAACCUUUAAACUUGAGCUCUUGCGUUCCCUAGAUGCUUCCACACUAGAAUAAUCAAAGAUUCUGUGUGGAUUUUGAGGUAUUUUCGGAGAAAUUGGAAUCUAGUGUCAGGUUUGCGUUUUUGGGUUUUAAGGUGUUAGAACCGAAUUGAUCCUCUAAUUCUCUAAUUGAAGAUCAGAGGAGAGCUCCAGACAAUUUUAAUUUGAAAAUCGACAGGCGUUCGGUGAUCAAUUUUGAGUAACGAACCGAAUCGGGCGACGUUGGUCGUACGGGCUCGAAAGAGAGCGAUUGGCCGCGGGAGCCCAAUUGCAAGUGUCUGCCAGCAAUCGGAAGCAUGUGAGAUGGGUUGUGCUUUACCGAAGUGAUCGAUUUGAUCAUUUUCACGUGGAAAUAGUAAAAUCUAAUAUUUUUUUUUACUUGAUGCAUGUAAUGGUAGGUUAAUUAGUAAAUAUGAAGGUAUUAAUUAAUCAUAUGUUACUAGAAUAAUUGACUACCAUUGGACAAGAAUAGUAGGCAUGUGAGACAUAUAGGUAUGUAUAUAUAUGUGUUAGGAUUUGGUUAGAUUUGUAGUUAAAUCCUAUUUAGAUAAGAAUUAAUAUUUAAAUCUGUUGGAGAUAAAUUAAGAUUUAAAUAUUAAUUAGAGGAUAAACAUAAAUAUAUUAGGAUUAAUAUUUAAAUCUAUUAGAAAUUAAUUAAGAUAGAUUUAGAUAUUAAUUAAAGUCGAAAUCCUAAAUAUAUUAGGAUUGGGUACGUUUUAAGUUGAGCAUUAUAUAUAAUGCAUUAUGGGCUAUUGAGGCUGUGAGUAGUACGGUCAAGAAGAGAGAGAGGCUCUUGGGGUGUGCCGUACAAGAGAGAAAAAGAGAAAAAGAGAGAGAGAGAAUUAAUGAGUUGAUGCAUCUAGUGCACGGGUGUACCAACGAGAGAAGUCUUCUUUUGGGUUUAUAAAAGACGAGAGAAGGGUAGAAAAGAUUCAGAAAGAGGGCUCGAGUUGUAGCUACUCUAUUGCAGAAGAGGAGUCAUGUGUAAUCUUCUCUUAAUUAAUGAACCUUAUUUUAUCCGCAUAUUUUCUGUUUUGAUUUUUCUCUCUUUUGUGAUUGUAUCAGCUUUUGCUGAUGAGACGUGUUUAUAGUAAAAACCCGAUUCGACACUUCCGUUGUGGAAUCCCAACAAUCGGUAUCGAAUCCACAGCAGUCGAUAUCGGAGCGGGUUGCGGAUUUACAAGAUCCGGUACCGAGGCGAGUACCGAAUUCCCAACAAUUGGGAUCAGAGCUGAAGGUUACCGAUCUUUGGGAGAGAUCGACGUCAAAGCACUGGAUUUCCGAUCCUUGUAGAAGAUCGAUGUCAGAGCACGGUUAUACCAAUUGUUCAGAGCGAUCGAUGUUUAAAACACAAUUUAAUCUCGUUUAGGAUCGUUGGACUCGAAGGGUUGCGAUUUUUUCUGCUUCAAGUGGAGCUAUAAGGGUCCGAAAGCGAGAUCGGGUUGUGUGCGAGGCGGACAAGCGUGGGAACUUGUACGUUCUGAACGAGAGCACAGUUAGAACGGGAGCGAAAACGUUUUGGGUUCCAAAAGUUCGUGGAGGUGCAGACGCUCGAGGCGAAGCGACAGAUGCGGCGACAUCGAGCAAAGGAGACAAGCUCAAGAUGGAGCUUGCAUGGUGAGCUCGACACGGCGGUUGAAGACUACAAAUCCAACCAAGGUAGAGAUUGUCAGGAUUUGGUUAUAUUUGUAGUUGAAUCCUAUUUAGAUAAGACUUAAUAUUUAAAUCUGUUGGAGAUAAAUUAAGAUUUAAAUAUUAAUUAGAGGAUAAACAUAAAUAUAUUAGGAUUAAUAUUUAAAUCUAUUAGAGAUUAAUUAAGAUAGAUUUAGAUAUUAAUUAAAGUCGGAAUCCUAAAUAUAUUAGGAUUGGGUACGUUUUAAUUAAGUUGAGCAUUAUAUAUAAUGCAUAAUGGGCUAUUGAGGCUGUGAGUAGUACGGUCAAGAGAGAGAGAGAGUCUCUUGGGGUGUGCCGUACUAGAGAGAAAAAGAGAAAGAGAGAGAGAGAGUUAAUGAGUUGAUGCACCUAGUGCACGGGUGUACCAACGAGAGAAGUCUUCUUUUGGGUUUAUAGAAGACGAGAGAAUGGUAGAAAAAAUUCAGAAAGAGGGCUCGAGUUGUAGCUAUUCUAUUGCGAAAGAGGAGUCAGGUGUAAUCUUCUCUUAAUUAAUGAAUCUUAUUUUACCCGCAUAUUUCUAUUUUGGUUUUUCUCUCUUUUGUGAUUGUAUCAACUUUUGCUGAGGAGACGUAUUUAUGGUAAAAACCCGAUUUGACGCUUCCGUUGUGGAAUCCCAACAAUCGGUACCGAAUCCACAGCAGUCGGUAUCGGAGCAGGUUGCGGAUUCACAAAAUCCGGUACCAGGGCGAGUACCGGAUUCCCAACAAUAUGUAUGCCUAGACAUGGACAAUGAGAUAGGUUGACAUUCUCUAUAGACAUUAGGGAUGAAUCCUAGAUGUGGAUAACUAGGAUGGAGAAGAACAUGAUUGAGCAUUGAACCUAAUGUCAUUGAACAUAGGUUGGAAACGUAGUGGUAGGAAGACCACUUGGACAUGAGAAUAUAGACGUAGAGAGAUUAACAACAUAGGGUAAAUGGUGAACCCUUAAGACUUGAAAAAUGAUUCUAGAAUUCCGAAACUUGUGAGCUAGGGUGUCUAUGGCAUGUUCCUCACCCUAUCGGGGGUCUUUUGUCGUGUUCCGAAAAAUAUAUUUUUUAAAUUAUUAUUUUUCAGAAUGUUUACGGUUCAUCAAUUAAACAACACAUCGGAAAGUAUUGGGAUGAGUCAGAAUUGUUUUGAACGCGGAAUUGGUACCACAAAUAAUUUCAAAAUACUUUUGAUUUCAACUGGAAUACUAUUAUGUGUUAAGUUGGGGUUUAGGCUCAACUUACACCUCCAAUUCCUCCUAAUUGGGGAGUUUGGGGUGCAGUGCUAGCUGAGAUUAGUUCUCUCCCACUCUCAUUUCCUUCUCCCUCACAUUCUACUCCUUUCUUUACCCUUCUUCCUGUUCUACUCACCAUUUGAGCACUCUCACAGCAGCAACAACCUGGCAGCAUGAGGAGUUCGACUUCCCCUUCGAUUUUGGUGAUGUUUGGAAGCUUGGAAUUAUAGGAGAGAUGCACGCAUAGCUAGUUCUUGAAGUUAAGAGUUUGGGGAAUGCUUCAUUUCAUCAAAUCUCCGGGUAUUUUCGGAUUAUUAAAGUUUUGGUAAAAGCUGUCAGUUUUUUUAGCAAGCUGAGAUUUUGAUGGAUUUUCUUUGGAUUUUUCUCUUGAAUCUUGGUUUUCUUUUCGUUGGGGAGAAUCUUUACUUCAUCUAGAGCAAGUGGGAACUUUGUUUGAGCUGAAUCAAAGGUUGGUUUUUAGUGAAUUUCAGUUUUCAUUGAGUCCAUCAACCAAAAAUCAGCAUUUGGUGGUGUUUUUUAUCACUUUUGCAUGGUGAUUUCGUGGUAACUAUGGGGUUCUUUUGAUGGAUUAGGGGCUUGGGAACACAUUUGGGAGUGUUGUGGUCUUCCUCAUUGCCUUGCUUCCCUCGUGGACUUGCUGGAAUAGCCGCAAGAGCUGCCGGAACUCAGCUACAGUGCAGUGGUAGCAGCAGCCUAGUGCAGGGACAGCAAUGAUGUAUUUUCAAAAUUCCUUUCGAUUGGGACUUUGUUGCUACGAUUUGAAGAUUUCUGGGUGUUCCUAAGGUUGAGAGGAACCUAGUAUUUAAGUUUGAGCCGCUGAUUUGAGGUGAGCAUAGCUGAAUUUCAGUUUUUCGUACUGUAUCGCCGUUUUGUUGGAAUUUAGCUUGAUUUAUUAUUCGGCUCAAUCCGAUAGGAAUACUUACGAUUUUUUUUGCUUUGUUUGGUGAUUUUGGAUCUGAGACACGUGCCCGCUGAGUUUCAUCCUGAUCCGUAGUUGGAUUUGCACUCUAGGUGGGUCUGAACUAAUACAUCAAAAACCGCAAACUGCACUCUACAUCUAGUGUAAUUUCAGCAUGUUGUAGUUAAGACAUAUGUUGUUUUUUCUACUUAGUAUGCUAGAUCUUGAUGAUAGAAUCCUAAACUGAGUUUAUCAUGUUCUAAUGACUAUUUGCAUGAGUUGUUUGGCCAUCUAAUUAGGAUUCACAUUACGUACACUGCUUGUACAUGUUGUUUAUGAACUUAAACUUGAAACCCCUUUUCUUAUGUUGGUCAGUUCACUAUACAUGAGAUGUUGAGUAUAGGUUAGAGGUAGUGUGAUGAUCAUAGAGUCGGUAUAGGACAUCACCGGAUUUUUGACUCAUGUGAUUUACAAUAGCCGUGGAUUUUGGAUCGUUGUACUGAAUUAUUUGAUUUUGUAUCAGAUUGGACCGAGAUUAUUCAUUAGUGGCUAGCAUGUUCCACUUUGGUCAUGAGCAUUGAUUCUUGCCUACGACAUACUUGACCUGGUUACUUUAUUCUCGAGUGGGUCACUCCCCUCGAGUGCCACUCCGGAGUUAGGCUGUCACAGCCCGCGACCACCCGCCUAUUUGGCCGAGGUCCCGGCGCCCGGCGCCGCCGACACGCCGAAUGGACAGGGUUUCCCCUGUACUACGGACAGAGUCUCCCCUGUACAUUCAAGGCAUCUCAAUCAAUACAAUACGAGAGGUUCCAACCAGGAAUAGGUAUUCAACCAUAGAUUGCAUAAGGAGUAUCAAAAACAUAAACUACUAAGUUAUUACAGCAUUCAACUUAGAUGUAUUUUACAACAUAAUUUUUCUUUUACAAUCAACCUCCAAAUACAAUCAUAAUUAUUACAAUUUCUAUUACAACUUAAACAAAAGUUUGUUCUUGUCUUUAAACCUCCCAAGCUAGACCACGAACUCGGGUACUGCUAUCUCAGUCUCUGGGUAGGACGCUAUCUGCAGAACUACGUCCUCGCCUUGCGCCGCUGCGCCGCACAUGUGUGUACCUGUAACCCCAAAACAGCAACACGGGGGUGAGACUAUUGUCCAUAGUCCUCAGUGGGUUUAGCCACCCAAGAGAACAAGCUCAGCCAACAGGUCUAACGAGGCACUGCAACAUGUUAGAUCAACAAUAUACAACAUAUAUAUAUAUUCAAUUGAAAUACACGUCCUGCCUCACGAAAUGCAAUAUGUAAUAUCUGGAAUCAUGCAAGUAGGUUACUUUAACACUACUUAUGUUCUUAAUCAUUCUUUACUCUUUGCCAUUUAAUGACUUUCUUGAGCUAUUAGCUAUUCUUUACUCGUAGCUUUUCUUUACUUGUUCUCUAUUCUUUAGCUAUUCAUUAUGCUUAACAUUCUUGAACCAUGCUAUAUCUUAGCUUUUAGCAUUCUACUUAAGGUCACUUUACCUCAGCCAACAAAGCCACCCGACUCGAUCUAGAGUCAAUCAAUCGCGGAUAGUCCGCGCACUGUCUAGCUCGAGGUGAAGGAACUCUCACGUGCACCUCAGCUGGCAACAGCUCACCGUACUCCUGUCCUAGCCGUCUGGCGGCGAACGAAUCGCACCUCACCCAACAACGGCCUAGGUUCAAUGACUUAGUCACCCGGCGGCGAAAUUGUCGCACACACGCCACGACAGUGGUUCAGUCAACAGGCGGUAGGAUCCACAAACUGGCUAACUAUCCGGCGGCGAAAUCGUCGCACACACGCCACGACAAUGGUUCUCUAGCCCCUGGGCGGCGAGAUCGUCGCACACACCCGACACCACUUUGGGUGUAGCAGCAAGCAGCGGGAUUCCGGAAUCCAUAUCACAUCAACCAAGGGUUGGUCUUAACCCUAUGGAACUGACCUCUCUAGGUCUAAGCAUUUAUCUCCUAGGUCCAAUUGACUCUAGGUUCAACAUCCUUUACACAAUCUAAGUUAUUACUUUAGGUUUAUGGCUUUCACAUUCUUAACCUAGGUUUAUUACACUAGGAUCAUCAUUCUUUUCCAACUUAGGUUCACUUAACUCUAGGUUAAGCAGCUUUCAUUUCACAACCUAUGUUCUUUACAUUAGGUUUAACAUCACUCUUAUUUAACCUAUGUUCUUUACAUUAGGUUUAGCAUCAUUCUUAUUUAACCUACGUUCAAAACUCUAGGUUAAAUGCCACUCGAUCUAUAGGUUUAUUCAUGUCCACCUAUAUAUAUUCCUUACUUAGCAUUCUCAACAUGUACUUGCAUUCACUGUUUUUGCAUCAUACUUAUCAUCUAUACNNNNNNNNNNNNNNNNNNNNNNNNNNNNNNNNNNNNNNNNNNNNNNNNNNNNNNNNNNNNNNNNNNNNNNNNNNNNNNNNNNNNNNNNNNNNNNNNNNNNUGUACCCGCUUACACGUUUGCAUGGAAUUUCCCGUGAGCAGUUUGAACUGGCAGGGGAUUUUGGCGGGUAAUUGUGGCAUUCUAUAUAGUAUCCCCCACGCCGCCUCAGGAGCUGCUCCCGUGCUGAGAAGGUUGGAAAACAGCGGUAGGAGCUUCCCACACCAUUCUCUUUGAUAUUGCUAUUCCCCAUUUUGCAUGGGUUUCUUUGAUUAGAUUUUCCUCUCUUUUUCCUUUUGGAGGGUAUUCUCCACCAUGUUGAUGAGCUUGGAACUUGGAUUUGGAGUUUGAUUGAGGGGAAGAUAUUGGAAGUGUCGGAGGCUUUGACUGGUUUUAAGGGCUUGCCUCAGAGAGUUAGUGGCAAGAUCCUUUCCUCUUAGUUUUGGAUUUUAAGCUUUCUUUUGAGAAUGAAAACCCUAGUUUGGGUGAGACUUAGGGUUUAUUUUGGGCUUUUUGAACUGAGGCGCUUUGAGGUCGUUUAGAUUGGUUGAUCCUGGCUUUAGAACCUUCCUUAGGGGCUUUUGGAUUGGAAGGGUCUCUAGCUCUCUUUUGCCGAGUUCAGGAGGGAUUUCUUAUUGAGGUGACAGUCCGUUUUUUGCCCUUUGCUCACGCGUGUUAAAGAUUGGCCUUAUUGCUCUUUUCGCUACGAUUGACAGAUCCGACCCCACCAGAUUUUUCGAUGUUCCUAGGGUACUAGAAAGGUUGCUUCUGGUGUGUGAAAUCUCCGCUUCUGGCGAAACAAAAGUUUUCGUUUUGGUGGGUUUGACCUAGCCUUGUAUGAAGAAAUCUCAUAUUUGGUGAUUAAGUGCCUUUGUUACUAAUUAAUUCAUGCAUUUUCAUAUUAAAUGUAUUUAUUAUUCGAUUUUUUUAGAAUGCUUAAAAUGCAUAAGGAUAUAUGUAUGAAUUUUUGGAGCCCUCUAUGGUAGUUAGAGAGUGCUUCUGGGGAUCUGCCUUGGUUACAUUUAGCUUCUAUAUGAAGGUUUGAUUCGAUGGCUUCUAAGACGUAAUGUUAUGAUUCAUGCGUUUUUUAAACUAAGUUUUAAUUGAGACAUGAAAGAUGACAAUUGCAUUAAUGUAGGCAUCGAACUUGAUAUCAUGGUGUGUAACUGCGAGAGCUAACUGUCAUCAAGCGGCAUUGAAGCUAAGGACUUGUGUGAACCUAGUGGAUAGGGCCAUUGAGGGCGUUUGGAAAACUUUGUUGACAUCACAAUUGCUAGUAUCAUCCAAGGGGGCACUAGGCGUAGCAAAUUGUUGAAUUCACAUAUGUGACUUGUACUAGAUCUCGCCUGGCCGCAUUGCUAGUUAUGGUGAUACCAUGUUAGAGACUAGAGGACGGUGAUAUUUGAGACUUGGGACCUAUUGCUUGCUUGCCAUUUGUGCUUCAUUCGCACAUGCUUGUUGAGGGUCGUCCUUAAAGCCGGCAUUCCGGAGAUUAGCUUUAGCCUUACGCGACUAACGUUCGCGUCCGCUCGGCGCUCCUCUCGCGAAAAGCCUACGUGGGUCCGGGUCGAAGCCCUGCCUGGUGCGGACAGAGACAUUCCAAGUAGGGAUGUCGGGCUACACAGACACUUAGGCGGCACAAGCUGCGGCCCUUGGGCCGUGGGGUCCGUUAUUAUUGGAAUGGAAAUCCGACACCGGGCGUUGUUAUCAUGGACUCACCUCACCUCGUAGUAGGUUUUAGUCCGCGUUUGGAUCACCUUUGACAAUGCUUAUGAUAAUAGCAUUGUGAUAUAGCAUAACUUGCCGGGUUUCAUCGUUGCAUGCGUAGUAUACUCUGUGCCAUUGGAUUAGAGACCUGUACUCUUUAUGACCAUUGACAUAUGGCAUGUUGUUAGUGUUUACUUGUUAUCAUGUCGAGACAUAACAGUAGCAAUCUGGACAUAAUAUCUCUCGACAAGCGUAGGGGUUACAUCACCAUUUACAUCAUGUUUUACUUUAGAGACAUAGCGGCGUUGUGCACUUCAUUUAUAGCUUCUCGAUCGUAUGCAGUUGCUUUUACUCCUUAUUAUUAUUGGCUUUUAGUAGUUACCCUUUUUCUUUGGGGCUAUGGUGGUGCUCCGCAUUGAGCUGAGGUCAACCCACCAGUAAUUGCCUGGAACUAUAAAUAUAGUUCUUCACGCCUCUUCUUUCUCGAUGUUUUUUCAAGCCUUCCACGAGGGUGAGGCCAGGGACUCGCGGGAAGGGAGUUGCUUCGAGCGCUAGCUUCGCUUUCUGAGGACGAGUUGUAGGUCUGCCACCUCUCGAUUUAUGUUUGUUUAUAUUUUGCGAAGAGGUUUGGCACUACCUGUGUUUUAAGUGUACUAUGAGACCACCAUCUUUUUGUACACUUGAGACUGUAUUGUGACUCCUUUCACUGUCUAGCUUUACUUCUUUACCUUGGUGUAGAUGAUAGAACUAUAUUUGCUCUGAUAUCAUUAGUUGCUAGUUUUUUACUUCUUCUACUUGUUUUAUUACUUGCUUUUACUUCCGCUUUUAUUGUAGACGCCUUAUAUGUGUUGACAUAUGGCGGGUCUGGGCACGCUACCGGGAGGGCCUUCGCCGGUCCCGGGGCGUGACAAUAAAGACCUUUAAUCUUCGGAUUGCGGAUUCGUGGUUGUUUGAUGGCCGAGUGCGAGUUCGAGCUGAACCGGGCGGCAGGUGCCGCGGGAGGCCGAUUGCAAGUGGCUACGAGCAAUCGGAACGUGAUAACAGGUGGGUUGUGUUUACCGAAGCUACUAGGUCGCCUGCAUGUCAAAGUGAACUAUGAGUUCCUGUUGACGCAUAUGUAUGAGCAUAUUGCUAGAUGAUAAUGCAUGGUGACAUAAUGAGAAUAUAUAUAUGCAUAAUAGUAGCAUGUGAAUCAUACUAGACAAUAGUUGAUUAUGCUAGUUGAUAAUGGCAUGUUAAUGCAUUGAAACUGUAUGCUAGUGGAUAAUUGCAUGUAGAUGCAUUGAGAAUAAAUGCUAGUGAAUAGAUUCAUGUUGACAUGUACUAGAACAUGCUAGAGUAUAGGAAUGAAUGUUAUCCUAUUGCUAGAUUAUGCAUAGGCAUGUGGCAUCUAAACCAAGUGUUGUGAACCUAGGAUAGAUCGAGUGGCAUUAACCUAGCGUUGAGAACAUAGGUUGUGGAUUGAACCUAGAGUUGAGUAAACCUAGGUUAUGUGACAAAGGUAUUGAACCUAGUGUUGUCGAACUUAGGUUGACAUCGAACCUAGUAUCGUUGAACCUAGAGUUAAUCGGACCUAGGUGAGUGGCAUUUGAACAUAGUGUAAAGAAACACAUUGAUGCAAUGAGCUUAGGGAUAGGUGAGUUUUCCCUAGAAGUGGCAAGUUGCAUGAAAACCUAGUGUAGUUGAGACACUAUGAUAUUGAACAUAGGGAUAGGUGGAUUUUCCUAACUAUGAUUCGGGUAAGAGAACCUAAAGUGUUGCUGUUGUUGUUAACCCUAGAUGGUAGGGCAUCGUCAGUGAUGGGGAUUUGAUCAUUGUCACGCCCCGCGACCAAUCGCCAAUUUGGACCGGGUCGCGGCGCCAAUGAUAGACCGCCGAACGGACCGGGGUUUCCCCUGUAAGCGGACAGAGUCUCCCCUGUACGUUCUAGGCGUUGCAAUCAAAAUAAUAUACAAAUGUUCCAACUAGGAACGGAUAUCAAUCCAGAUUGCAUAAGGAAGUAUCAAAUACAUAAAACUUCUAGCUAUUACAAGCAUUCAUUUCAUAAAACAUUUUUCUUUUACAUUUGCUUAACUUCCAAAUACAAUCACAUUAUUACAUUUAGUAUAAGUUGGUUGAUGUCAUUCCAUUCUAACCCCUAGGCCCUGCUGACUCGGGGUACUGCUAGCUCUGGUCUCCGUGGUAGGGCGCUAUCUACGAGCUACGCCCUCGCCUUGCGCCGCCGCGCCGCACACGUAUAACCUGAAAACACCCCAAAACAACGUGGGGUGAGAACCAACUCCAUGGUUCCCAGUGGAUACGGCCACCCAAGGGAAAAGCUCGACCGAUAGGUCCGAGGAAGCACUGCAACAUGUUAGUUCAACAAUAUACAACAGAUAUAUAUAUUCAAUUGAAAUACAUGCCAUGCCUCACGAUAUGCGAUAUGAAAAUCAUGCAACUCUAUGCAACAACUAGUAGAUCAAACGAUUCUACACUCUACUUGGCUACUUUUAGCUCAUAUCUUUACUCUAAGGUUCUAUUGCCUUAGGAUCUCAACUCAGUCCACUGGCUUCUAAGGUCUCUAUUACCUUAGCUCAAGCCUCUAUCUCUAGCUCAUGAGGGUUCCUCUACCCUAUUGAAGCUAACCACCUGACUCGGCUCCAAGCUAAUCAUCCGCGGAUAGCCCGCGCACUGGCUGCUCAUCAGCCUACCGCCGUCUCUCUGUCUCAGCCUCCUAGCGGCGAAAUCGUCGCACACGUUAAGCAUGGCUCAAGUCGCACGACUUGACCAUCUGGCGGCGAUCACGUUGCUCUUACCCAGCGUGAGCUCGAGACAUGACACACCGUUUGGCGGCGAACGGAUCGCAUCACACCCAACAACGGUACAUGUCAGACUAAGCCACCUGGAGGCACCCGCAUCGUACUUACCCAGCAUGGAUUCAGUCUGCUCUGGAGGUCUGAUCCUCAAAUGGCUUAACCAUCCAGCAGAGAAAUCGUCGCACAAACGCCACGACAAUGGUUCAAGCCCCGGGCGGUGAUCUCCAUGUGAUCGCCCCCAAUCCUCCCUCGGUAUCAACCUCGGCAGCGAAGUCGUCGCACACGCCCUAGCUCGAUACCAUGGUCAUCACAAGUCCUGAGAUUCCAGAAUCCACUUUCCAUAGGUCGAGGGUCCAUAGCCAACCCUACGUUGUCGACCUAUCUCAUCCUAGUGGCUAGUACCACUAUACUCAACAACCUAGGUUUCAACACUCUAGGUUCUAUGUUCACAUCACAUAACCUAGACACAACCUCUACGUUCUCGUCAUCUUUACCUAGAUGUCCACUUCUAGGUUUACUAGAUCGACCUAUGUUUACUAACACUAGGUUCGAUGCCACACCUAGACUUGUUCGACUCUAGGUUCACUUGUUCAACCUGUGUUCUUUAACACUAGGUUAGGUGCCACUCGAUCUAGUUGACAUCCUAGUUGUCCAAUCGAGUAUCUCAUGUCAAUCAACUCUACUCAAACUAGAGUUAUCAUCUAGUUUACGUGCAUAUAUAUAUAACAUUAUUUAUAUGUAUCCACUUAGCAUCUUUAUCUAUGCAUUAUUAUUAACAUGCAUUCUUUACUUGUUCUUGUCUACAUGCAUCAACAAGAUUACUUGCUUAGACAUAAAGGGCGACCUAGUCGCUUCGGUAAGCACAACCCACCUUAGUUAGCUUUCCGAUUGCUUGUCGACGCUUGCAAUCAGCCUCCGGCGGCACUCGACACCCGUUUGGGCCCGAUCUCACAGUUGCUCCCCAAAAGCACGUCGCUUCACCGUUUCAAGUGCUAAAGGUCUUCGUCUUGCUGCUAUGGUGCUCGGGACCCAAUUUCACGAUUUAUAGACGUCGCCUCGGCCUCCCAGGCGGAAACGAAGCUCCAAGCGUCCGUUUCUUCAAUAUCUUUGCAACGGCUUGUCGGAUUGCCGAACCGACUCCGCCAACGUGUUUCAUUACCUACCAAUUAGGUUUACGAAGGGUCAAAUGAGAUCAAACUCAUCUAUUUACAAAAACGCUCUUUGGAUGCCCUAGAAUGCUAUUACUACAAAAUCCACCAAAUCGAUCUAUGAAAUGGGGAAAAUCCAUCUAAAUAGCAUGCUAGGGUUCCCCUCAAACCCACUUUAGAGAUCAAAAAACCUAUCUCUAAAGAUCUACCAUGAGAGGGCUUUAAGCUUACCUCUUUAGGCUUACUCCAAAGGCAAGAAGAAGAUGAAGAGGAUGAUGAUGAUGAUGAUCCUCUUCUUCUCCUCCAUCUCCUCCUUCUUUUCUUCUUCUCUUUUCCUUUCUUUCUUUUCCUUCCUCUCUUCUUCCCCCUUUUCCUCUUCUACGAACGGAAAGAGAGAGAGACAGUCAGGGAGAGUGUGAGGGAGUGAGAGAAAGAGAGAGAGAAAGACCUCUCUAAUAACCCCUUUCAUUUUGUAACAAAAUGCUAAGAAGCCCCUCAACUUUUCAUCUCUUACACAGCCCUCACUGGACAUUCUGCGCGCGGAGGGACCGAUCUCCCCGACUAGGGACCGGUCCCCGGGGCCUCCCCCCGCGGGCACGCGUUCGGGAACCGGUCUCUCCCUGAGAGACCGGUCCUCGGGAGACCGGUUCCUCUCGGAGAGACCGGUUCCCGAGAGUUGAACUUCCGGGACUUAGCCGAUUUUCGGCCAUUCUCGAGGGCGUCGCAAGCUGGGAUCGGUCCCUCCUCUGCCAGGGACCGGUUGCAUCAGCAACCCCGCAGCCCACCACUGAUGGAACCGGUCUCUCACCUCCAGAGACCGGUCCCCGAGAGCAACCUCAGCCCAAAAAUGCAGAUUGCAUUAUUUGCUCUCGCGGACUCCAUUCCAAUGCACUUAUCAAUUUUCGUGUAUCCUCAGCUUUUCCAAGGCUUACCAACUCGACCAUCAGUCGAUCCUGGACGAAGUGCAACCCUCGAAUUUCGAGAAUUCACAUUGUUACAUUUUUUCCUCCUUAAAAAGAGUUUCGUCCUCGAAACUCACUCAUUGCCAACCCCUUUUAUUCCUCGAUCUACUUCUCGAGUACUCAAGGGUUCCAAUGCACUUUUGCACCUCGGAGUUGCCUUUAUUCUCAUCGAACUCAUCUAAAGGCCCACAACGAAGAAUGUAAUAUACCGAGAAUUCGGAAAAAUAAAUAUCGAACUUUAGUCAAAUUGACCAAAGUGCGAGGAUGGUACACUUCGGAAAGUCCGAAAGCGUUAAAAUGAGCAAAAGUGCAUUGUUGGAGGUCGUCGAGAGCUUAAAGAUUCAAAAUCUGCAUUCUGCAGGUUUUAUGCUCUCGGGGACCGGUCCCGGAAGGAGAGACCGGUCCCCGUACGCGUGAAAACAGAGGAAAGCUGAAAAUCGGCUAAGUCCUGAGAAGGCAGGCUUCGGGAACCGGUCCCUGUCUGAGAGACCAGUCCCCCGGAGACCGGUCCCCCAAAGAGAGACCGGUCGCCUCAUGCGUGGAGCCCUGCAGCCACGGAGAGGACCUACGGGAACCGGUCCCUGGUCGGGGAGACCGGUCCCCGCAUGCGAAAUCUACCCAGUCCAGACAGUUGAAUAAGAUGAAAGUUGAGGGGUUUACUUGCAUAUUUGCAACCCAUAGAGUUAUGUUAAGGGCCAAAUGAGAAAUUUCUCUCAUUCCUCACCCUCUCACCAUCUCCUCUCUCUCUCUCUCUCUCUAGAAGACAAAAGAGGAGAAGAAGGAGAUAAAGAAAGAAAAGGAAAAGAAGGAGAAGGUGGAGAAGAAGCCGUUGGAGUGAAGCAACUUCAUCUUCUUCCUCUCUAGUGCAAGAAAGGGAAAGCUUUGAGGUAAGCUUCAACCCUAUUCUUGGUAAAACCCUAAUGUGAGAGCUAAAUGACCUAGAAACGAUUUUUAUGGAGCUUUUAGAAGAUUUGAAGCUUUCUUUGCUUCUUUAAGAGAUCAAAACUGUAAGGAAGUGAAUUCUCGAAAUCCGAGGAUUGUACUUCAUCCAGGAUCGACUAAUUGUCGAGAGAAUACCUUUUGGGGAAGUUAGAGAUGUCCAGAGCAUAAAAAGUGCCUUGGAGUUGAGUCCACGAGAGCAAAUGAUGCAAACUGCAUCAUUGGGUUGAUGUUACUCUUGGGGACCGGUCUCUGGAAGUGAGAGACCGGUUCCCUUGGUUGGGUGUAGCGGGGUUGCUAGAUGCAACCGGUCCCUGGCAGGGAGGGACCGGUUCCUGAACGUGGUCCCAGCGAGAAAUGCCGAAAGUUGGCUAAGUCCUGAAAAUUGAGCUCUCGGGGACCGGUCUCUCAGGCGAGGACCGGUCUCCCGAGGACCGGUCUCCCGGGGAGAGACCGGUUCCCGAACGCGUGCGCCCGAGGGAGGCCCUCGGGGACCGGUCCCAAGUCGGGGAGACCGGCCCCUCCGCGUGAACUCUGCUCAGUGAGGACUGUGCAGUGGAUGGAAAGUUGAGGGGUUUUAUGCAAAAUGACCUUUAUUAGAGUGGGCUGAGCCCUCUCUCUCCCUCGCACUCAUCUCAUUUCCCACUCUCUCACUCUCUUUCUCUCUUGCUCUUUCUUUCUCUAGAAAGGAAAGGAGAAGAAGAAGAACAAGAAGGAGAGGAAGGAAAAGAAGGAGAAGAACAAGAAGGAGAUCAAGAGGAAGGCCUUGGACACCUUCAUCUCCCUCUCCUCUUCUCUUUGGUGUAGCACAAGAGGUAGGCUCUUGAACCCUAGCUUCUAAACUUUGGAGUUUUGGGUUUUGAUGCUUUGGAAUGGGUCAAAUGGACCCUAAGAAUGCUUGUAAAUAGAUCAAUCCCAUGAUUCUAGGGAUUUGUUGGUGGUUUGCUAUAGGUGCAAACCUAGGGCUCCAGAAUGGGGUUUUUGUGAAAAUGUGAGAUUGAUCUCAUUUGAAGCCUUAGAAACCCUAUUGGUAGGUCACAAAACGUGGGGGCGAAGUCGGUUUUGGCAUUUGGCGAACCGGCGUGAAGUUCUCGGCAAAAUAGGGCCGGGCUAGUGUUGAUUUGGGCAAGGAAGGCUAAAACCUUUUUGUAAAGUUCGCCGAGAAGAAUUUCCGAGACCUCUACAUCGAUUAAAGGUGGGGGGUGCCAUCCCGAAGCUUUCGAACUCCUUUCUAUGUCUUAGAUUGCAUUUAAUCUCAUCUCUUCAUGUUGCAUUGUAGGAUUGUAUAGUAGCUCCCUUAUGCUCUCUAAAUGAUAACCUAGUGUACUUGGAACGCUUGGUGACUUAGAUAGGUGAGGAUUGGGUCGGAACAUGGAUCCUAUGAUGUACCCGAUGGGGUGUUGAUGACAUAGAAAGUAGUGUUAAUGUCAAAGAACAAACGAAUUGCAUCCAAAUGUUAAAUGAUGACGAGUGGCAUUAAUGUAGUGUAAAUAACACUAGAGGUUUGAGAACCUAGGGAUAGAUGGAUCCCUUAGAAACUGCCUUGUGGAUAAAGAACUUAGUAAACCUAAGUAGCCUCACAUGGAGAGGUUGUUGAUGAGUCGAUUGAGACAUUGACCCUAGUGGUAGGGCUUCCUCACUCGGAGAGGAUUUGAUUGGGCUGUGGACCCUAGUUUAUAGUUGUAACACACUAGACCUUCGCAAAUUGCGAGGUUCGAGUGGUUGGUUGUGUGCUGAGCAAUUUCAGACUUUCUGAUGGGUCGUUGACUGUGAUCCGACCUAUGGCUCGCAUCCCGAGAAGUGAGGUUUAAAGCCUCGCACAAAAACCCGAAAAAACGGAUUUUUUGGUUAACUCUCAGAUUGCCUUCAGAGGGUCUUGUACCGGUACAAGGUUGGUGGUUGUACCGGUACAAGGUUGGUGGUUGUACCGGUACAGCCACCGGGCUUGUACCGGUACAGAGCCGCGGAACCCCCAGACACGAGUCUCGGGUUGAAGCUUUUCGUGGGGCUUGCACCGGUACAAGGUCCCGUGUACCGGUACAAGGCGGUAGAAUUUGAGCAGUUUGAACUGCAGGGGUGUUUUUGCAUUUGUGGGCUUCUAUAUGUGUCCCCACGCCCUUGGGGCCCCUCCUUGAGCUGAAACCAGUGGAGGAGCAAGGUAGGGAGCCCCUCUUUUCCCCUCUUUGGAUUUGAUCUCCAAUUUCUUGGAUUUUGAUGGAUUCUCCUCUCUUUUUUCCUAUUGGAGCUAUUUCCACCAUUGUCUGAGCUUGGAGCUUGGAUUUGAAGCUUGGUGGAGGGAAGAACCUUGAAGUUUGAAGACUUUGAGCUUGGAUUGGAGCUUCUAAGAGGUAAGUGACAAUAUCCUUUCCUCUAGAUUUGAAUUUUGGAGGUUUCUUUGAGAUGAAACCCUAGAGUGAGGUUUUAGGGUUUAUUUUGGGCAUUUUCGUUUUAGAGCUUUUGGAGCUCAAUUGGUAGGAUUAGAACCUUCCUCUAGGCUUGAUUGGAAGGGUUCUAGCUCUCUUUUGGAGCUUUAGAAGAGAUUUCUUCUCUUGAGGUGAGUGUUGACCCUUUUGCUUCUAGGUUAAUGAUCGAGCUAUUUGCUCUUCGUUUCGUUUGGGUAACCCCAUUUUUGAUGUUCCUAGGGUGCUAGGAAGCUAGUGGAUACCUCCGUUCGGCGAAACGAAGGUUUCGAUUUUGGUGGGUUUGACCUAGCCUAUAGUAUGAGAAAUUCUCAUAACUCGUGGUUUAUGCUUCGUUAAAUGUUUAUUCAUGCAUUUACAUGCUAGAUACAUUUAUUAUGAUUUUUAAAAUGCUUAAAAUGUCUAUGUUACAUGUGAUGAAAUUUUGGACCUCUAUGUAAUAGAGAGUUGCUUGAGAGAUCUAUGGUUGCAUUUAGCAUUCUAUAUGAAACUUGGUUUCAUGCUUCUAUAGUGUAAAUGAGCUUUGAUUCAUGCAUUUAAACUUAAGUUUAUUUGAGAUAUGAAAGAUGACAAAAUUGCCAUAUAGAGGCAUCGAACUAGAACAUUAUGUGAAUUAGAGAGCUAAUGUCAUCAAGCGGCAUUGAGCUCGGGACAUGUGUGAACCUAGUGGAUAGUGUGAGGAAGUGAAUUCUCGAAAUACGAGGAUUUUACUUCUUUCCAAAUCGACCAAGGGUUGUGUUGGUGUACUUUGGAAAAAAAAAACCGAAGAUAUUAAAAUCACCAAAGGUGCAUUGAAAACGAGUCCACGAGAGCAAAUAGUGCGAAAUCUGNUUCUUUUCAUAAUCCUUUAACUAGCGAGACGCAUAAGCGAUGACUCUGCCAUUCUGCAUAAGAACACACCCUAAUCCAUUCAGCGACGCAUCGCUGUAAAUCACAGUCCACUCCAGUAACAGGCAGUGCUAAAAUCGGGGCGGUAGUCAACCGUUCCUUCAGCUCCUGAAAGCUUCUUUCACAGGCUUCGUUCCAUAGGAAUUUAGCUCCUUUAUGUAUGAGUCGAGUGAGAGGAGUAGACAUCUUUGCAAACCCUUCUACAAAUCUUCGGUAGUAUCCCGCCAAACCAAGGAAACUCCGAAUUUCAGUGACACUGGUCGGCCUAGGCCAAUCUUUAAUUGCUUCAAUCUUCUGUGGAUCCACAGCUAUCCCAGUUUCUGAAAUCACAUGGCCCAGAAAUGCCACUUCUCGAAGCCAAAAUUCGCAUUUCUUUAACUUUGCGAACAGUUUCUUUUCUCGAAGUACUUGCAACACCACUCUCAAAUGGUCUUCAUGCUCCUUGUCACUUCGAGAAUAUAUCAAGAUGUCAUCAAUAAACACUACCACGAAUCUAUCCAAAUAGGGUUUAAAGACACAGUUCAUUAAAUCCAUAAAGGCUGCUGGGGCAUUAGUCAAUCCAAAUGGCAUGACUGUAAAUUCAUAAUGCCCAUACCGUGUUCUAAAAGCAGUUUUAGAGACAUCUUCAGGCUUGAUCUUAAGCUGAUGGUAACCAGAUUGCAAAUCAAUCUUGGAAUACACCUUCGAUCCUUGCAGCUGAUCAAACAAGUCAUCAAUUCUGGGCAAUGGAUAUUUAUUCUUGAUCGUGACUUUGUUGAUUUCUCGAUAGUCCACGCACAAUCGAAGAGAUCCAUCCUUCUUCUUAACAAACAACACCGGUGCUCCCCAAGGAGACACACUCGGCCGAAUAAAUCCUUUAUCUAAAAGAUCUUGUAACUGUGCUUUCAGCUCUUUUAACUCAGCGGGUGCCAUUCUAUAGGGUGCUUUAGAAAUAGGAGUUGUCCCAGGGGCAAGAUCAAUCACAAACUCCACUUCCCUAUCAGGUGGCAUGCCCGGCAACACAGCUGGAAACACAUCCCCGAAUUCUCGCACAACUGGAAUAUCAUCAAUCUUGACGGUUUUUCCGUCACUCACAGAAAUGCUAGCCAAGUAGGCUACACAACCCCUCCGGAUCAGUUGUCGGGCUCGCGAAGAGCUAAUGGUCAUUGCGAACAACGAACUCUGACACCCCUUAUAAACAAACUUUUGCUGACCCGGUUCCCUAAAGGUUACCAUUCUGUUCGUGCAAUCUAUAGUAGCAUAAUACUGUGUCAACCAAUCCAUACCCAAUACUACAUCAAACUCACCAAGUUUGUGUAGUGCCAAUAAAUUCACUGGCAUAAUCCAGUCGCCUACCCUAACUGGGCAGCGAGGGCAAAACUCACGAACAUCUAGGGUAUGGUCAGGUACAAUUACUCGUCCCAGAUGCAAAGUAGGUGCUAACUGUAUGCUAUGCAACUCGGCGAACUGCCGAUCAAUAAAAGAAUGCGAAGCACCAGUAUCAAAUAAUGCACGAACACGAAUAUCAUAAAGCAUAAUAAUACCUGCUACGACCUCCUAUGCUGCUGCGGCGCCCUCGGUCUGGGCGGCAUACAUCCGCCCACUCGAACCCUGCUGCGAACCCUCCGACUGCCGCUGUCCUCGUGGUCGCCUAGACUGAUAAGGCGUUGUCAGGGCCCCCUGGCUCGGAGCUGAAGAUGCAGGUGCAGUCGCUGACGAGGGUGCAGGCACAGAACCUCUCGGGCACUCUGAACGAAAGUGGCCCUCCUGGCCGCAGAGAAAACACCGGCCCCCACGCUGUGGACACUGUGGCGGUACAUGAGGCCCACCACAGAUAACACAACGCGGCGGUCGACGACGCUCGGGUGCUCCACGGGGUGCUGAAGAACCUCGACCCCUCGACUGUCCUGACUGUCCCCUUGGAUACUUUGGGGGUCUCCUAAAGGACUGCUGACCACUGCUCUCAACUGCAGGUCUCUUCCCUUUGCUUCGAUCCACAACAUCCCUUUUCUUCAUAAUCUCCGCCCCUUUCUCAACGAUCAAGGCCCGGUUCACUACAUCCCGGUAAGUGGAGAGGUUUGACGCCUGGACCAAUCUGAAGAUCGCAGGUCGCAAACCCACCUCAAAAAUGCGAGCCUUGUCCUCAUCAUCUCGAACUACAAAAGGAACACAGUGCAGUAAUCGGGAGAACUCUCGCUCAUACUCUGCCACUGUCCUGUCCCCCUGUCUCAAAUUUCUCAGAUCUCUUUCCAUCUGCCUCUUCACACUCUGUGGAAAAUAGGUCGUCAACAACAAUUCCUUGAACCUGUUCCACGUGAUAGCAGCCAAAUCAGCACGGGGAUCCUCCCGGAUGUCCACCCACCACCUGUAAGCCUCGCCAUCAAGGUGGUGUGUCGCAAACCAAACUCGGUACCGCUCCUCAACAAAAGUGUCAUAGAAUAGCUUCUCCAUAUGCAUUAACCAUUUUUCAACCACCCAAUGAUCUGCUUUCUCCCCAUCAAAGACACGAGGGUUGCAGCGACGGAAUUCAUUCAGUCGUUCCAUCAUCCGCUCUCGCUCCUCAACCCCCACCAUCUCGGGUAACACUGUCCCAGCUGCUGCUACAGGUACUGGUGGUGGUACUACUGUCUCCUGUCGGGUCUCUGCCCUCGGAGCUACUGGGGGUGUGUCAAGUACAGGUGACUGUGCUCUCACUGUGGUGCCCCUCUCUGGUGCUAUAGGUACAGAAUCUGGAAUCUCUCUGUCGGUCGUCUGCCGCAGUAACAGAUCCUCUAACCUCUUCAUCCUGUCCUCCUGUCGACGCGCAGCGUCCAUCUGCUGUCGUGCUGCCGCGGCCUGCUGAGUAACCAACUCUGUCAACGUCGCAAGCUGAUCCUGCAACUCAUGGAGCUCACUGGACCCCGACGUGACGGAAGUCUCUACCUCUUCCGCAGCGGCCGCCUCAGCCGCCCCGGCGGUUCCAGAACGAGUCGUAGGCAUCUUGAACUGCAACACAAAAACAAACAUAGGUCAAUAAACCCUAUACUACUGAACCCUCAUUGAGGAUAUAAACCAGCUAAGCAAGCGAAAGUAAUGAAAUGUAACGUGUACUAACUUCCGAUGUCACGUUGUCGGCCGCCAACGUGACCCUCUGCAAAGUUAGUACUUGCACAUCCCAAUCAAACUCCUACUAAUCGGAGUUUAUAAGUACCCAAUCAAAGCACUUUCGCUAACAACAACCUCAACUAGACUGCGUCUCUCACGAGCCUAUUCUUAUAGUCCAACCAGCCUAAGGUUUGCUAGGUCUACUAAGACUCAACCCUAGGCUCUGAUACCACUAUAAUCUGUCACGCCCGGCUACCAGCGGAAGCAUAUCCGGCACGUGCACAGACCCGCCAUACACCUGCAGUAUAUAAGGCGUCUACCAGCAACAAGUCGAUAGGAAGUAAAACAAAGAAAGUCCUAUCCUGAUAUCAGAGCAAUGAACAGGUCGAUAUAUAUCAACAAAAGAACAAAGAGUGUACAAUCCCAAAAUCUCAACCAAAAGAUGAAUAUCACAACUAAAACAUCAGAUCCAAACAGGAGAUAUACAAUACUGGGUAUACAAAAAUAGGUACAAUGGUAGCCUUUCUAUACAAAAGGACAUCACCCUCGGCCGAAGCCCGAGUAACAAGGUGAUCGACUAGCAUGCUCCUAGNNNNNNNNNNNNNNNNNNNNNNNNNNNNNNNNNNNNNNNNNNNNNNNNNNNNNNNNNNNNNNNNNNNNNNNNNNNNNNNNNNNNNNNNNNNNNNNNNNNNNNNNNNNNNNNNNNNNNNNNNNNNNNNNNNNNNNNNNNNNNNNNNNNNNNNNNNNNNNNNNNNNNNNNNNNNNNNNNNNNNNNNNNNNNNNNNNNNNNNNNNNNNNNNNNNNNNNNNNNNNNNNNNNNNNNNNNNNNNNNNNNNNNNNNNNNNNNNNNNNNNNNNNNNNNNNNNNNNNNNNNNNNNNNNNNNNNNNNNNNNNNNNNNNNNNNNNNNNNNNNNNNNNNNNNNNNNNNNNNNNNNNNNNNNNNNNNNNNNNNNNNNNNNNNNNNNNNNNNNNNNNNNNNNNNNNNNNNNNNNNNNNNNNNNNNNNNNNNNNNNNNNNNNNNNNNNNNNNNNNNNNNNNNNNNNNNNNNNNNNNNNNNNNNNNNNNNNNNNNNNNNNNNNNNNNNNNNNNNNNNNNNNNNNNNNNNNNNNNNNNNNNNNNNNNNNNNNNNNNNNNNNNNNNNNNNNNNNNNNNNNNNNNNNNNNNNNNNNNNNNNNNNNNNNNNNNNNNNNNNNNNNNNNNNNNNNNNNNNNNNNNNNNNNNNNNNNNNNNNNNNNNNNNNNNNNNNNNNNNNNNNNNNNNNNNNNNNNNNNNNNNNNNNNNNNNNNNNNNNNNNNNNNNNNNNNNNNNNNNNNNNNNNNNNNNNNNNNNNNNNNNNNNNNNNNNNNNNNNNNNNNNNNNNNNNNNNNNNNNNNNNNNNNNNNNNNNNNNNNNNNNNNNNNNNNNNNNNNNNNNNNNNNNNNNNNNNNNNNNNNNNNNNNNNNNNNNNNNNNNNNNNNNNNNNNNNNNNNNNNNNNNNNNNNNNNNNNNNNNNNNNNNNNNNNNNNNNNNNNNNNNNNNNNNNNNNNNNNNNNNNNNNNNNNNNNNUUAUAUAUAUUAUCUAUAUCUUUAUUCAUGUGCAGCUUGACUAGGUGGAAAAUCGCGUACCACGUCGGCGGCAGAACACUGGGACUAUAUUUAUUAUAGUUUGCACCCCGUGUGGUUUGUGGGGUAACAGGUAAAACAGAGGGAGUAACCAAGCGAUGGGACCGCUGGUAGGCAAUAGCGCCUAACGUGAGUUUAGUUGGUUAGCUUUUCCUUUAUGCAUAUUAGAGUACUGUGUACUAGAUGAUGUGUUGUGAUAGAUAAACGGGAGCGCUAUUUGUAUUUUGAGAAAAUAUAUAUUUCAUUUGUGGUAGAUGAAAAAUGGUAUGACAUCAAUGAUGUAACUAUGGAAUGAUGUAAUAGUCUGACUAUUCUCUUUAUACAUAGUAUAUUCUUGUGGUUCUUGCUCUUUAGAUGGUAUUGCAUUGUGUCGCUAUUGAUUCGAUCAUGUAUGUUAUCUAAGCUUUCUGGGGCUUAUUUGUAAUGUUGGUGUUAUAGCCUAGGGCGGACAGAGGAGGUGCUGUGUUCCAGGCGUCUGUUCGACGCGCCCAAUCGGACCAAUUGAGGUAGCCGGCAUCGGGGCGCGUGAAGAGUUUGAGCCUUGAAGGAUGUGGAACAUGCUGCAUUGCGAAUGUUCUAUAGUGUAAUAAAGAGCGGGGCAUCUGGACUAGGAACGUUGGAACUUUAUAUUGGUGACUUAAUAGUUUCUGGGUCUCUCCGAUAGUGAUGCUAGGUGAUUAUCCAUGUUUGAGACAUGAGGGUUGGAUACUUGAGCCAUUGUGACUACGUUGUCUGCCAUUUAGUUGCUAGUUCGCACAUGUCUUGUGAGGUUCGCUCCCGACAAGCGGCAUCCGGAGUUAGUCUAUGGCGCCUAUGUUCGUCUCGUGCGGUUUGAGAAAGGUACAAGGGGUUGAGUGGGACGACAAUUCCAAGAGAGGAUGUAGUGGCUUACACAGGAACUUUGGGCGGCAGAGUGAAACAUCAUGUAGGCCACUUAUUGGAAUAGAAAUCGACCGGUGUUUAGUGUGUUAUAUCACUAUAGUAGGUUAGUAGUUGGAUUACUUUGACAUGCUCAUGACAUAGCAUUGGGAUAUAUAGUAUACUUGCCUGUUUCAUUCAUUGCAUCAUAGUAUACUUGGUUGCUUGAUAGAGCUUAUUCUUUAUGUAUGACAUCUUGGACAGUAGCACUUACUUGUUGCCAUUGGACAUACUGGCAUUAAGAUAGAGUAGAUGUACAUCAUACUUACAUCAUGUUUACUUGAGAUAUAGUAGCUUAGCAUUCCAUUAUGCUCUCUUAUUGCAGUUAUCUUUAUUAUCAUUGCUUAUAAUACUUACCCUUUUCUUUUGGGGCCUAGUGGUGCAUAGAGCAUAGGUCAGUAAUUGCCCACUGGGGACUAUAAAUUAUAGUUCUCACGCCCUCGUUUUCUUGAUGUUUUCAGAGCCUUCCACGCUGGGAGAGGCUAGGGACCGCGGAAAGAGAGUUGCUACGAGCUAGCUUCCUUCGAGGACGAUUCGAUAGGUGGUCUACCUCUCGUUAUUUUAUUUGGUGAGAGGUUGAGAGUUGUACCCGUUUAUGUGUAGAGACCACCAUUUUUGUACUAGAGAUAGAUAUUGUACUACUUUAUGUCUUACCUUUACUAUUUUUGUGUUAUGUUUCCUUUACUCUGGUUAUAGAUGAUAGAAUCAUACUUGCUCUGAUAUCUCUGGAUAUAGAUUAUUUCUUGCUUUUAUUUCCGCUGUUGUUGUAGACGCCUUAUAUGUGUAGACAUAUGGCGGGUCUGGGCACGCUACCGAGAGGGCCUCCGCCGGUCCCGGGGCGUGACAGAUUAAUUUGGUAUCAGAGCCUAGGGUUGAGUCUUAGUGGACUUAGCAAACCUUAGGCCGGUUGGACUAUAGGAAUUAGGCUCGUGCGAGACGAGGUCUAAUUGACUUGUGAGCGAAAGUAUUUCGAUUGGGUUUGAUGAUAACUCUAAAAAGUUAGAGUUCGAUCGGAGUGUAUGGCUUCUAACUUCACGGAGGGUUACGUUGGCGGCCGACAACGUAACAUCGGGAGUUAGUAGUGAAGGACACUCCCUUACUUUCGCAUGAUUUGGAGUUUUAUCUUCUUGAGCGGGGAUGUGAUAGCGUGGGUUACUAGCUUACGCUUUUAUGUUUUGUAGUGACGAUGCCGAUUACACGCUCCCAGUCUGCCGGGGCGGAUGAUGCAGCACACCCCGAGGAGGUCGAGACCUCCGCUACUUCCGGAUCUAGUGAGGUCCGUGACUUGAGGACCCAGCUUGCGGUCCUCACUGAUCUGUUGGCGCAGCAGACGGCAGCGGCGCAGCGACANNNNNNNNNNNNNNNNNNNNNNNNNNNNNNNNNNNNNNNNNNNNNNNNNNNNNNNNNNNNNNNNNNNNNNNNNNNNNNNNNNNNNNNGUGAUCGAUAGCAUGCUCUAGCAGUCCUUAUCUAGGCGCGAAUCCUUGCACCAGAUCCUAGCUCUCUGUAUAAGCGGCUCUUUGUAAAAACACCAAAAAGGGCGUUGAGCUGAGAACUAUUAACCAAUAUGUUUCCAGUGGGUAAGCCGCAGCCUCGGCGAAUUAACACUAGGUCAAUGAUGUAUAAAUGAAAUAAAAGCAGUAAUUUGACAUGAUAUAUUUUCAAUGUUAACAAUUAAUGUAAGCAUGUAAGCAAUAUGUUAAUCCAGGUUCAAAGUAAUGAAUCUACUGUAAUGAAGGUCGAAUCUAUAAGCAUUAACAUAGAUAGCGUAAUGUGUAGUAAUAGUGCACUGGUAAUGAGUUCAUUCAUUAUGCUCAAUUUCUUUUGCACUUUAUCAUUCACAGGGAUCUAAUCAGGGCUUAGUCCGUUGCGCCGAGCUAAUGGCCCGGUGGUUACACUACCCACGGAUCACACUCUGCACAUCCCGACGCGAGAAUUUGCGGUAGGCCAUCCGGAUGCGGUUGUAGUGAGCUACCUCACUAAGGUUUGCGGAAUGGCACCGAUGCAAGGAGAAGCAAAGUCCACUAUCACAUGUCUUCAAUUUAUAUUUUAAAUGCAAGUUCAGAACCUUCGAUCUUGAUCGGAAUGUCAUACAAUAGUAACAAAGUAGUUAUCCUAGAUUGUAAAUAUAGGGUGGUAAAGCUAAAUCACAUAGCAUUAUAAUCUUUCCACUAGUAUAGCACUAUCAACAUAGUCAUGAGCAUGUCGUAGUUCUCUAUAUUAGAGUCAGGAGAAUGUCAUUGUUCUUUACUUUAAAGUGCAUCCUACACUUGUUCAUAAACCAUUCAACUAUAUUGAAUAUGAAUAGAAAUACUUUCAUGUAUAUAUGUUCUCUAUAUCAUAGAAACAUAAUAAACUGAUCUCCCGAUUGUUCUACUAAACUAAACAAGAAUACUUAAAGCAUGAGUACUUUUAUGCAUGAACGCUCAUUUCACAUAUGAUAAACGUCAUGAUGACGAAUUCCGAGCCCUUUAGCAAUCACAUAGGCAUAUAAUUAAACCGCGUCUAUAAUACAUAUAGAACAUAGGGGAGCUUCACUUGCUCUGGUUAGGUCAAACCCACCUCGUACUAAGCUCCAAAACAGUUUGCAAGGGUCCCAAAAUCAGCCCCACGAGGUCCCACUGCUGCUGAAAAUAAGGUAUCAAAACCGUGUCAAACACACGACCGAAAUGUCCGAUUUCGGCCUAAUUUACACUUAGUGCAAGGUAACCCCUUGAAUCCCUAUUAUGGGCUAGAGUAAUACCUCAAGUUAAGCUUCCAAAAGGUCCUCCAAGGCCAGUCGAAGACGGUCCAAGGGUCAAAUACCCUCUCGCUGCGAACAAUACCGAAACGGCAUCAAUAUUGUCGAUUAUAAGCUAUAAUAGUCGAAUUCUUGCAAGAUUUAAUUCCAAGCUGAAAUUCCUGCUUACCCGUAGUUAGAACACCUUCUAAACUCAGUCCCAAGGUCACUAAUUUCGUUUAAUAAGGUUCAAAAACCUGCUGCAAAGAGAACAAUUUUCAAAUUGUAUCAAUUCGGUCGCAUAACCCGUAUAUAGUCCGAAAUAGCUUCAUAAAUGGCUAAUUAUUCCAAUUAAGCUUCCAAGUAGCUUAUCCCAGAUCUAAGAGGGUUAAAUCUCAGCUAAAUAACUCAUAUAUACAUGCUGAAAUCUCAGUUUACAGCAGCGGGAAGCUAAAACCUGAAAACAACACUCAAAUCGACGUUAAUAAUGGAAAAGUUGAGCCGAUUACCUCGUCAAGCCUCCAACCAGUAGCUCACUGGUCCAGAGCUGCGAAAACCCGUCCAAAAUACUCUCUCACACGUCCACGAAGGCUCAGCAACACUCCCAAACAGCGAAGGGCGAGCUCGGCGACGACAACGGUGCAAAACGGCGACUUUUCUCUAGAGAGAGAAAAACCCUAGAGAGAGAGAAAGAGAAAAAUGGGAGAACCCUUCUCUGGACCCCAGACCCUUCCACAGAGCUCCUGGAGUCGUGCUAGGGAUUAUAGAUAGGGAUCAAAAUGUGAAAAGACCAAAAUAGCCUUGCUGCCACGAAUUGCCACUGUGUACCGGUACACCAUUGCGGCUGUACCGGUACAGCAAGCAGAAAAGGCUGAUUUUCGCCAGUUCAAUGCACUUUCUCACUUCUCGCAUUCCAAACAUCCUCUAACUUAUCCAAACACUUGCUCUAACCUUUUAGAACAUGUAGGAGUGAUCCACACACCAUUCCACAUACUCGAACUCCGCAAUUUGCAAAAGUUCAGUGUAUUACAGCUCUGAUCAUCAAAGAAGCUCCAAAACCUAAGUUCUCUUGGGAGAAAUCCAAACCCUAGCCUAGGUUUUCAUGAAACCAUACCUUGGCCCAAAGCUCAACAAGAUUCUUCUUGUUGGAGAGAUCCCAAACCCACCAAAUCCACCAAAAAUCCCUCCUCAAGCUUCUCCUUCUUCUUCUUCAACCUCUAGGGUUAGCUCUCUAGAGAGAGAAAAGAGAGAAAGUGAGAGAGAGAUGUGUGAAUGGCUGUAGAGGGAGAGGGGGUUGGGUAUAUAAGGUGUUGUAACAUUUACAACAAGACCCCUCCACUUUAUUCCCUAUGCACUGCCCAAACUGGGCAUUUUUCGUAGUGAGGGACCGGUCUCCCCGACCUGGGACCGAUCCCCGAGAGCUCCUCCCGCGGACUGCGCAGACUGCGCGCGAUGCAACCGGUCUCCCUCGACGGGACCGGUCUCUGGGGGACCAGUCUCUCCUCGCAAGGACCAGUUACCAAGAGCUGAUUUUUCAGGACUUAGCCGAUUUCUCAGCCACCUCGCUGCCUACGCGUCCGGGGACCGGUCUCUCCCACCAGGGACCAGUCCCCGAGAGCACAAAACCUGCAGUUUGCAGAUUUUGAUUUCCACUCUCGAAGGUCCCCCGAAAUGCACUUUUGCAUUAUUUGACACCUCCGGCCUCUCCGAAGCGUACGAACCUCGCACUUUGGCCAAUUUGACCAAGAUUCGAAUUUAAUUACCGAGGUUUCGGUAUGCUACAUUCUCCACCCCUUAAAUUAAGUUUCGUCCGCGAAACUUACUUAAUUUAGACUUAAACUCGUACCUCAAUUCAGCUCAUUAAAGAGGUGAGGAUAAUGCUCCCGCAUUGCACUCUCGAGCUCCCAGGUAGCUUCCCGAUCAUCGUGAUUGCACCAACGAAUCUUAACAUACGGAAUGUCGCGAUUUCGUAGUUUUCUUACUUCUCGAUCGAUGAUGUAUGCCGGGAACUCUUCAUAGGUCAUGUCCUCUUGGAUCUCGGACGGUUCGAACGAGAGAACAUGAUCGGGGUCGUGAACAUACUUGCGGAGGUUCGAUACGUGAAAUACAUCAUGCACUCCCGCAAGCCUCGGUGGUAAUGCUAUCUAGUACGCCACCGCGCCGACCCACUCCGAUACCUCAAACGGUCCGAGGUACCGGGGACUUAGCUUCCCCCGGAGCCCAAACCGUCUAAUUCCUCACAUCGGCGACACCUUUAGGAAAACGUGGUCGCCAACUGCAAACUCUAUGUCUUUUCUCCGUUUGUCGGCAUAGCUCUUUUGCCGAGAUUGCGCCGUAGCGAGUCUUUGGCGGGCAAGGCAAACUUUCUCCUCCGCCUCCCGCACUAUAUCCGGACCAAGAGUAGCUCUCUCGCCCACAUCGCUCCAAUGGAUUGGAGAGCGACACUUCUUUCCAUAAAGGGCCUCGAAUGGCGCCAUCGCGAUACUCUCUUGGUAGCUGUUAUUGUAUGCGAACUCCACUAUCGGUAAGUGAUCAUGCCAACCGCCCUUGUAGUCAAGUACACACGCUCGGAGCAUAUCCUCAAGUAUUUGUAUCGUCCUCUCCGAUUGACCAUCACUUUGAGGAUGAAAUGCCGUGGUAAAGUCGAGCCGUGUGCCUAAGGCCUCCUGUAGGCUUCUCCAAAAAUAAGACGUGAACCUCGGGUCCCGAUCUGAUACGAUAGACACCGGUACCCCGUGAAGUCUCACAACCUCGUUGAUAUAUAGUUCAGCCAACUUGUCCCCCGACCAAGUAAUAUGAAUCGGUAGGAAAUGUGCCGAUUUCGUCAACCGGUCUACUAUCACCCAAAUUACAUCGUAUCCACCUUGAAAUCGAGGCAACCCGGUCACGAAGUCCAUUGCGAUAUUUUUCCAUUUCUAAACGGGCAUAGGUAAACAUUGCAACUUUUCCGCCGGAAACCGCCUCUCUGCUUUUACUUGUUGGCAAGUAAGACAUUGCGCAACAAACUCCCCAAUGUCUUUCUUCAUGCCCGGCCACCAAUAAUGUAAUUUCAAAUCUUGGUACAUUUUGGUGCCGCCCGGGUGUAUACUAUAAGGGGAUUGAUGCGCCUCUUGCAUAAUCGCUUUGCAGAUGUCCUUGUUCUUAGGCACACACCAACGAUUUUUAAACCGGAGUGCGCCGUCGAUCCUAAUGGCAAAAUCAUCGGCACUACCGCUCUCAACUUCUCCGCGCAUCUUUUGGAGAUACUCAUCGGAAGCUAGCAACUCCUUAAUCCUCUCAAACAAGGUCGGUUCCACCACCAACGCGGCAAGUGUAGCUGGCACUCCUGGCUCCACUACUUCCAAACCAAGGCGUUGCAUCUCCUUUUGCAAUAAUAGUUGGGGUGUAAUGGCCGAAGCUAAAUUUUCUCCUGAUUUUCUACUAAAUGCAUCAGCCACCAUAUUUGCUUUUCCCGAGUAGUAAAGUAUAGUGACGUCAAAAUCUUUCAAUAACUCCAACCACCGCCGUUGUCGCAUAUUUAAUUCUUUCUGGGUUAACAAGUAUUUAAGGCUCUUAUGAUACGUGUAGAUCUCACAAUGUUCCCCAUAUAGGUAAUGCCUCCAUAAUUUUAGCGCGAAUAUAACCGCCGCUAACUCCAGGUCGUGGAUCGAGUAGUUUUUCUUAUACAUCUUCAAUUGGCGCGAAGCAUAUGCUAUAACUCAGCCAUUUUGCAUCAAGACACACCCGAGUCCAAUAUAGAAAGCAUCACUAUAUACCACAAAUGUCUCCCCCGGCGUCGGUAGAGCAAGCACUGUGGUCAUGGUCAACCUUUCUUUUAGUUCCUCGAAGCUCCGCUCGCAUUCGGUGCUCCAAACAUACUUCACCCCUUUGUGCGUAAGGCGCGUUAGUGGAGUAGUUAUUUUAGCAAAUCCCUCCAUGAACCGCCGGUAAUAGCCCCUAGCCCAAGGAAACUACGGACCUCCGAUACGCUCGUCGGGCGAGGCCAAUCUCUAAUUGCCUCAACUUUCUUCGGGUCCACCGAGAUACCAUCGCCCGAAAUUACAUGACCAAGGAAAGUAACCUCCGAUAGCCAAAAGUCGCGUUUCUUCAAUUUGGCAUAUAACUUCUCUUUUCAGAGUAUUUCCAACACGGUCCUCAAGUGCUCCUCGUGUUCUUCCUCGGUCCGAGAAUAUACUAAUACGUCGUCAAUGAAUAACACGACGCACCGGUCUAAUAGCGGACGGAAGACUCUAUUCAUUAGGUCCAUGAACGCCGCCGGGGCGUUAGUAAGCCCAAACGGCAUCACCGUGAACUCAUAAUGGCCAUACCGCGUACGGUACGCCGUCUUGUGCACAUCCUCGGGUCGUAUCUUCAACUGAUGAUACUCCGAUUGAAGAUCAAUCUUUGAAUAUACCCUUGACCCCUGCAACUGAUCGAAUAGGUCAUCAAUCCUCGGCAACGGGUACUUAUUCUUCACUGUGACCUUGUUCAACUCCCGGUAAUCCACGCAGAGUCGAAGUGUGCCGUCCUUCUUCUUAACGAAUAGCACCAGAGCUCCCCAGGGUGACGCGCUCGGCCUCACAAAGCCUUUGUCGAGCAAGUCUUGCAACUGUCCCUUGAGCUCCUUUAGCUCCACCGGAGCCAUUCUAUACGGGGCCUUCGAAAUUGGAGCCGCCCCGGGUACCAAGUUAAUAACGAACUCGAUCUCCCAGUACGGUGGCAAACCCGGUAACUCCGCCAGAAAUAUGUCGGAAAAUUCACACGCCACCCGAAUACCACUAAGUUCCGAGCGCUCCUUCGAGGCUUCUACCACGGUCGCCAAAUAGGCUCCACAACCACCUCUUAUCAUUUUCCUCGCCCGUGCCGCCGACACGGUCGCAGCGAAAAGUGAGCUUUUGGCUGCCCGAUACACUAGCUCCUCUCGAUUAGGCUCACGAAACGUGAUCACCUUACCUUCGCAAUCUAUCACGACAUAAUACUUGGAGAGCCAGUUGGUCCGCAAGAUCACGUCGAAACCCGACAUUCGAUUCAACACCAACAGGUCGAUCGGCAUGACCCAAUCACCUAUCUGCACUGGGCACGCUACACACUCUUCUUGAACAUGGAAAGUAUGGUCGACCGAAUUCACCGUCCAAUAGUCAUAAUGAUGCACAAUCUUAAUGCCAUGAGUCCUAGCGAAUGAUGCAUCUAUGAAUAAGUGCGAUGCACCAGUGUCGAAUAAAACUCUAGCUCUAGUACCUCUGAUCGAGAUAAUACCUGCCACGAUGUCGUCGGAAACAGGAAUCUGCUCCUCCUCCACCUGAGUGGCAAAAACCCGCCCACUCGGUGCUCUCGAUGCCUCCGGCUGACGCGAUGAAGACGAGCGUCCAGCCAACAUAGCCGGUGGUAACCCCGCCUGUUAUCUCCGGGCAUAAGGAACUGAUGCCGAGGUCGGUGCAGACGAACCCCAGCUAGGGCACUCUCGCGACACAUGCCCAGGUUGGCCACACUUGUAGUAUUUUCCCUCCCGCUGCGGGCAUGACGGCGGUUGAUGGUUGCCGCCGCAAAUGACAUAACGAGAUGGCCUCCAACCCCUUGACUGCUAUCGGGGAUACCGAGGGGGUUUCUUAGCAUUUGGCCAGCCCCCGGUACCACCCGCUGUCCGCUUCUUGCUCUUUUCCUUGGCCUCGGCUACGGACUCCCGCUCCUCGCGUUCGUGGGCAUAGCCAUGCUGCGCCCACAAAGCCCGAUCAAAGACCUCCGCAAAGGUCGUGAGCUUAAGGAUUUGCACGGCCCUAUGAAUCCCCGGCCGCAAUCCUCGUAGGAACCAGUCUACUCAGUCCCGGUCAUCCCUAACAACAUUCGGGACGCAGUCAAUGAGGUGGGAGAACUCCUGCUCGUAGUCAGCCACCGAGCGAUCUCCUUGCCUCAACUUGCGGAAAUUCUCUUUCAACUUCCGCUUCACCGUAUCGGAAAAGUAGUUGGCGAACACCGCCCUCCGAAACUCCUUCCACAACAUAGGCGGAAGAUCGGGCGAUCGAUCCCACCAACACGCUUCCACCAUACCUUCGCCGCCUUCUCGAGGCAAUGUGUGGUGAGGUACACCUUGUCCUUCUCCAAGGUGUUAAGAUCCUCAAAAAGUAUUUCUAUGGAGUCGAUCCAGGACUCCACCACUGCCGGUUCCACCACCCCCCCUUCGAAGGUAGGUGGGUUGAACUUUUGAAACUGAAUGAGAGCCGUCAACGCGCGCUCCCGCUCAGCCUCCUCCGCCGUACUAUCGGGGUUUGAGGUCUCCGAUCCUGCCGGCACCAUCGUAAUUAGCACGGCCACCGCGGCCACACCCUCGGUCGCAUUCGACACCACUGCAGGAGGCGCAGGGUGCACGGCCUCCACGGGCGCCGCCGCCGCCACCGCUGCCUGCUGCCGCUCCAAGGCCUCCUGGAGCCUUUGGAUUUGCUCCCCUUGGCCCUGAACGGAUUUCGCCUUGCGCUAAACGGAUUCCGCCUGCUGCCGCACUACGCCAAUAAGCACGGCCAUCUGCUCCCCAAGCUCCCGGUCGCCACCUGCUCCGGGUUGCACGGGAGCCAUACUUGACUCCUCGGUCAUAGACCUCGUCCGCGAUCGACCACGAGGCAACUUAGGUCGUCCACGAGGCGGCAUUGCUUCCUGAAACGAAGCAACUCACGUCAGUUACGUAGACAACAUCCUCGAUUAUACCCAAUCCGGCGAAAGCACAUAAGUGUAUUCAUUUUCAUUCCAAAGUGUUAUGUCGUCGGCCACCGAUCACAACACAAGGAAAAGAAAACAAAUAACAACUUAAGUUUAGUCCCUAAUCACAUUAGAGACAUAAUUACAUCAACCCAAUCCAUGCCUUCGCUAUAACUUGUUCAACGUCACUCACGUUUCCUAGAUCCUUAAGAUUUCCAUUCCUAAGGGUCUCUAGGUCCAUCCUAUGCUUUCACUUUUUGGCUCUUUACUCUCUGAUACCAUCUUAUCUGUCACGCCCUGAGCCCGAUCCUUUUGGCCGGUUCGAGAGUGUCAAACAGACGCAGAACGGACAGAGCCUCCCCUAUCCGCCCAAGGCUCAACAGCAAAUAUCAAUAGAGUAUAAAGUUUGCAUAAGCGAAAGCAUACACAAUGGCUUGCACGAGGGCAAGCAAUAGCCAUAGUGAAAGUAAAUAACUACACUUAGGAAAAUCAAAUACAACUUUGCAUCAUUUCCUUUUACAUCCCCAUCUUCCAAAAUAUAACAUUGAUAUUAAGUAAAUUCUUUUACAUCAUUCAUGUUCUUUCUUUUAACAACUAUAAUCAUCAAAAUACAAAAGAUGAUAUAUCAAAAGGGUAUGCAACUAAGAAAUAAAACAUCUCAGGCGGUCUCUACCUAGGGCGCGAUGCCCUUACUGCGGUCGUCUGCCGGCUCGCUCGGUCCCGGCUCUGUGAAAAUAAGGGUGUGAGAACUACAACAAAGUUCCCAGUGGGUUCGGUAACCAACCACGCUGACUAUCCCACUAGGUCUAAUCAGGCAUAACAGAAUAGAAGAAAGAAAGUAAUCAACUAACAAAUGCAACUAAUAUGCCUGAAUAAUAAAAAUGCGAUGCUCGAUAUAAUGCUCAUGAUGAAUGCAAGAUUACAAUUUUUUUACCCAAUCUCUUGGCUAACCCGUAGGUUUCGCCCUCAACAAACUCACCAACUCAAAAUCCUAUUAACCGGGGAGAUACCCGCUACAACCCGAUAGGACCGUCCUCUAGGGAGAUACCCGCUACAACCCAGUAAUGUCGACUCCCGGAGCACAUCGCCCGAGGGGGAGCUACCAUCCUCGAGUAAGGACUAAAGGUGAGUACGAUCAAUCCUACAUUGAGGAUUCCAAGUUCAAUCCAUUCCUUAACUUUAAGAAAGACCAUACUCAAUGACCCUUAACUCUAAGGUUGAAAUGUCAUAAUAUCUCAAUCAUUCUUUUCUUUGCAUUCUUUACCAUCACUUGUGUCAUAUAUACUACUAAGUUCUUGUACUCAUGCCACACUUAUUUUCUAAGUACUAUGUUCUUGUUCUCAUGCCAAAUGCCACACUUAUUUUUUUUUCUAAGUGUUCUAGACUCAUCAAUGUCACUCACUAGAUCUAUGUCUAUGUGUCACUUUUGUUCACUAACCCUUCUAGGUUCUUGUCACUUGUCAUGCGUAAAUAGGGUUUAUCAUUCUCACAUUCUUACAAAUAUUUAACAUGCAUUUGAAUUUACAUCAUGCUAUAAAAAGUUCACAAUUUAACCCUAUUAUGCAAAAUGCUCAAAUAUGUACAUAUGCUCAAAAUAUGACACUUAGACAUAAAGGGAUUUUCGAGAUCCUUGGAAUGCACCACCCACCUCGAGUAAUCUUGUAGGUGUAGAAUACGCUGACUCCCGAACUUUACGAAAGCCAAUACCGCGUCCUAUAACCAAAAUAGUGCCAUAUUAGGCCUUUUAUACAUGAACCCUACCUAAACAUUUUCGUAACGUCGAACGGAGUUGUACAACGCGUCGAUGACACCCGCAAUUAGGUUUCUACGAGGUCAAUUUGCCCUCAAAAAAUUCUAGGGCAAAAAUCCCAAAUUCGGUGCCCUAACCAAACACAUUGUUAAACCCUAAGUUUCGAUCUCUAAAGCAAGCAAAAGAGAGCUUGUCAAGCUUCUAGGUGCUCAUCUAAGAUCAACUAAGCCAUUUCUAGUGCAUCCAAGAUGAACCCUAGAAGUUCACCAUGAGAGGACCUUGGGCUUCCAUAGAUUUUCAUGGAGCUCAAGCCUCAAGAGGUGUUCUAAUCAUCAAAGAAGCUCCAAAACCUAAGUUCUCUUGGGAGAAAUCCAAACCCUAGCCUAGGUUUUCAUGAAACCAUACCUUGGCCCAAAGCUCUUCAAGAUCCUUCUUGUUGGAGAGAUCCCAAACCCACCAAAUCUACCAAAAAUCCCUCCUCAUGCUUCUCCUUCUUCUUCUCCAAGCUUUAGGGUUAGCUCUCUAGAAAGAGAAAAUAGAGAAAGUGAGAGAGAGAUGUGUGAAUGGCUGUAGAGGGAGAGAGGGUUGGGUAUAUAAGGUGUUGCAACAUUUACAACAAGACCCCUCCACUUUAUUCCCUGUGCACUGCCCAAACUGGGCAUUUUUCGCAGUGAGGGACCGGUCUCCCCGACCUGGGACCGGUUCCCGAAAGCUCCUCCCGCGGACUGCGCAGACUGCGCGUGAUGCAACCGAUCUCCCUCGAUGGGACAGGUCUCUGGAGGACCAGUCUCUCCUCGCAAGGAUCGGUUUCCGAGAGCUGAUUUUUCAGGACUUAGCUAAUUUCUCAGCCACCUCGCUGCCUACGCGUUCAGGGACUGAUCUCUCCCACCAGGGACCGGUCCCCGAGAGCACAAAACCUGCAGUUUGCAGAUUUUGAUUUCCAAAACUCUCGAAGGUCCCCCGAAAUGCACUUUUGCAUUAUUUGACGCCUCCGGCCUCUCCGAAACGUACCAACCUCGCACUUUGGCCAAUUUGACCAAGGUUCGAAUUUAAUUACCGAGGUUUCGGUAUGUUACAUCAAUCAACUGCGGAUAAUCUGCGCUCUGUCCGGCUCGAGGUGAAGGAACACUCGCAUACGCCUCAGCUUUCAAUCCACAAUCCAAGUCGCCGACGGGUCGCCCAGAGCUGCGUACACUCGUGGUCAGGGAUCUUUCCGGUGGGAGGGGGAACAUGCCACACUCGACCCGCGGUCCAAGACCGCCGAUAGGGAGGGAAACAUGCCACACACCCUAGCGAAGCACAAUUCUGCCGGCGGGAGGGGGAACCUGCCACAUGCUACCCGCGGCCUCUAAUCAAUCAACAGCUCAUCCUCGAAGUUCGUCCAGUAGGAGGGGGAACCUGCCACACUCGACCCACUGCUCUAGAACUAUCGAGUUCACAAUCCUAGGAUUCCGGAAUCUACUUUCCAAGCCUCGAGGGUAAUCUCAACCCUAUAACAUUGACCUAUCUAGGUCCAACAUCAUUUCCACCCUAGGUCCAAUAGACUCUAGGUUUAACGCCUCAAUCACAUAACCUAGGUUUAAUUAACUCUUAAGUUCAACAACACCAGGUUCGAUGUCAACCUAUGUUUACCAGCACUAGGUUCGAUAUCAAUCUACCUAGAUCUUGAUUCUAGGUUCAUUCUGUUCAACCUAUGUUCACGACACUAGGUUAAUGCUACUCACCUAGAUCUAAUUGACUCUAGGUUCAACGUCAUUCUUAUUCAUCCUAGGUUCACGACUCUAGGUUCAAUAGUCUUGGCAAGAAUAGAUUGGCAGUGAGUGGUGGGAUAAUCCUAGUCCUAAUAGAUUCAAUGCUCCUAAAACAGUAGCCAUAGAGAAACACUGCGCAAGCAGAAAAGGGUUGAUGGUUGGUAUCCAAGUUAUUUCACAUUUCUUGCUAAGUCAAUGUCUAAAAAAAAUAAACGAAGUAGGUCGCAUGCUACCUUUCUCUCUCUCAAAAAGAGAGCCGGUGCCAAAGAAACAAAUCAUAAUAUGUUGGAAAGAACGCAAAAAGGAAAAGAAAAGUAAAGAAAAUGUUAGGGAUCAAUCAAUACCGCAUGGGCUUUAUCUUGACACCUCCAGAGAGGCUGGGGGAGAUUCAGGCUUGCACCUAUUGACCUUGAAAGAAAAUUGCCCUUCCUGCUUUUUCUGAAAAAUUUUGGGCUGCAGCAACAUGCUGGGGUUUCCAAUAUGAAGACACAUGUAGUAAUAUUUCAGUGGUGUAUACGUGCCAAAGCUGUAACUUCGCAUGUGCCCUAAUUGCUUGAUGUUCAAAAUGAUGGUUUACUUCUUGAUUAGUGAAGGGAUAAUGUGGUAUUACUUAUAUUUCCUGAAGGCGGGAAAGCCUGAGUUGAUCUAAUGCUACCAUGAAUCAUUUUGCAUAUUGUAUUUAUUCAGUUGAGAUGCAGUGCUUGAAAUAGUGAGUAUUAAGCUUCAUGUGGUUUUAAGGACUAAAAACUUGGGCUAAGAUGUUGCUGGUUGUAGUUGCAGCUUUGGUAAUUUACAGGGCCAACUAAUGUAUACUGGUUUCUAUGAUGAAAUUAUGCCAGUUCAGAGUAAUGGCAUAUUUGUGAUACUGUGGAGUUAGAUCGGCUGUUGAAAUGAAAUUUUUUUUUUACAUCCUAUUUUCUGCUUAAAGUUGGAAAGUUUCUUACCCAAGUUCUUUUACUAACUCUUCGCAUGAGUAGCUUUUGUUGUUAUUCGUCCACCUUUUGUCCUGCAAUGUGCCAAAUAACAACAAUAUUUGAUGUUUGUUGUUCAUUUUCCAAGUUUAUAUUUGUAUUGAUUUAAUAAUCUUCAGUUAUGUAAUCUUUUGGCUUCGAUGAUAUCCACUCUAAAUUGAGAAAAUUUUUCCUGAAAUUUAUUACAGCUAUAGAUAUAUCUACGUAAUAAAUACCAGUAUAACAUUCUCCUUUGCGGAAAAUUUCUACUGUUAUACUUAGGGUAUGUUUGGUUCAUGAUUGGAAUAGGGAUGGGAAAUGAAAUUGGAUUGCUUUGGAAUGGAAAAUGGAAUGACGAAUCAUCCAAAAAUGUUUGGUUCAUUAUUGCAAUGAAAAUCAGAAUGAAAAUUUAAAAUUUUUGAGAGAGAGUUUUGAUUAAGAGAGAGAAAAAUGAUGAAGGGAGAGGAGGUAGGUGUUGAUGAAAGAGAAUUUUGAAUAGUUUACUUUGGAAUGAGCCAAUUCGGGAUUCAAAGCCGGAUUGGAUCAUAAAUGGAUUUGGCCAUUUCCAUUCCGGAGUGGAAUGGGAAUCGGAAUCCGAUUCCUAUAAAACAAACGGCAAUUAUCGGAAUCAAUGAAUUCCAUUCCGAUUCCAUAGCCUAAAAUAGAUGAACCAAACAUGCAAUGCGUUUGGUUCGCAUUAUGAAAGAUUAUUAAGAAUGAAAAGAUGUCCGAAAAUCUUAUUCUUGUUCAUCCUAUUACCAAGAAUGUGGAAUUUUUGUGUUUGGUUCGCACGGUCAUAUUAUUUAGCCAUAUUAUUUAAGAUUACAAAAAAUAUACAAUUUAUUUAUUUAUUUUUUAAUUAAUUUUAGAUAAUGCUAUCAAAAAUUUCAACAUCUUAGAAAAAAAGGAAAAGAGAGCAUAGGUUAGAAAGAGAGGGCAUAAUUAAAAAAAUAGAAAGAGAAAUAGAGUCGAAAUUAGAGGGAGUGAGAGAGUUGAGAUUUUAGAAAAGGAGAGAGAAAGCUUAGUUUAGAGAGAGAAAAAGAGUUGAAUUUUAGAGAAAAAGAUGAGUUUAGAGAGAGAUAUGAGAUUAGAGUGUAAAGAAAAAUAAUAUCAAUUAGCCGGCGGGUAGGAAGAAAAAAAAAAAGAUUAGACAUAUUAUGAUUACCCUAUUCAUUAAUAUGAGGAUACCCACCCUCACUCAAGGAAAUGAGAUUAGUACUUUGGAAUGAAUCUUAUUCCUAAGUAAAUUCAAUAUUACCAACUAGAUUACUUAGUGUGUUUAGCCAAACACCGUCAUAUUUUUUUAUUCCUAUUGAAUUACUAGGAAUUUUUAAAAGAUAGCACGAACCAAACGCACCCUAAAGUUAAUGUUCUUUUCUAUUCAUUUCUUCUUGUGCAUUUAUAUGGUUUUAACCAUUACCGCUAGGGAUGCAAACAGAGUGAAUUUGGCGGUGGGAGAACAGGGUGGAUUUACGGGUGGGAGCCCAGCCCGACUUUCAAAAUCCCGCCCCACCUCCCAUCCCAAAUCUGUGACAAAUCAUAAAAUAUUAUCCCAUAAUCUAUCCCACCUCAUAACUCACCUGACCACCUCCCAAUAGCGCCCCGAAUCUACCAUACCAACUAAUAUUUUUUUAUUAUUAAUAUUUUAUAAAAUAUAAAUCAAUAAUUUUUUUAAUAGCAAUAGAUAAUAUUAUCACAUUAUAUAUAAUUAAUAAUAUCCACUAUGAAAAUCAAAGGUAUCAAUAACAAUUCAGAAUAAAAUUUAAAACUUUCAAAUAUAUACAUAUUAAAAAAAAAAAAAAGUCUAUUAGAAUUAUAACUAUUAGAAUUAUAACACCAACUUGAAAAAUAAAAGUGCUAAUUUAUAGUUGAAUUUUAAAAUUUACAAACUAAUAACACAUCUCCACUGAUCGAAAACCACCACUACAAUAACCAACAAACAAACUUACCCACAACAUAAGAUACAAAACAUCAGAAAGCAAAUAAACUCAUCUAACACCCAAUCUUCACCCAAAUGGCGAUGGCACCGGAGCUCCCGCAGCAGAGUCCGACCUCUUAAUGCUCCCCAUACCACAGAUAAUGCACCCCGGAGUGGAGAGUGCGGAGAACUUCGCCCCACAUAGAUCACAAACA
rnacentral:lncRNA from 1 species